rnacentral:lncRNA from 1 species
AAAGUUUGAAUUGAAGCUGCACCAGCGCAUCCACACAGGGGAGAGACCAUACAAGUGCUCUGAGUGUGGGAAGGGCUUCAAAAGCAAUUCUAACCUCACCUGCCACCAUCGCAUCCACACAGGAGAGAGACCCUUUCAGUGUCCUGAGUGUGGGAAGAGCUUCAAACGCAGUUCUGAAUUGAAGCAGCACCAUCACAUCCACACAGGACAGAGACCCUUUCAGUGUCCUGGAGUGUGCAAAGAGCUUUAAACGCAGAUCUCAUCUCAACACUCACAAGCGCACCCACAGAGCACAACGGCUGUAGAAGCUCCCCAAGACUCUGGGAACCUUCAAAAGCAGUUCCAGCCUCAUUAGCGACCAGCACUGCCACAGAAGGUACAGAUCCUGCAGAACCUCAAACUUGUGAGGAGCUUCAGCCAAAACCCCAGCCUGGUUACGACCUGUGGCUUUGUGUUUUGAACCUUACAAAUCCCUUGAGUAGAGGAAGAGCUCUGCAGCCAAAAUCCUUCUUCUUCUCUGCUGCUCUUCUUUCUCCUCUUUGGAUGCGAAUUCUGCAUGUUGCUCUCUGUCAGCUGCAGUCAAGGUGUUGAGCGGACACUCAAAGGAGAGUCCAGAGUGGGAUGUGUCACAGCAACUGGAAACCCUCUGCCAGGUGGCACGUUUCUGCCAGGGCAGUGUGCAAGGACAGUCACCUCUUAUCUCCCCUGUAGAAACUCACCUGCAUAGGUGGGAUUGGAAUACCUAGGAUGACACAGAUGGGGAACCAAAUGGUUCGAAUCUACCCGCUAAUUGUGUCCACACAGUCAGCCCAAUCUCCAUGGCUCUCCUUGCUCGAGGUGUUGAGGAGCUGUAAGGCAUGCCUGACUGCCAAAGGGCAGAUCUGUGCUGAGGAGCUUUGCAGUCUCCCACAGCUGUUGUGGGAUGGCUAAAGGACGUGGCAAAAGAGACUGGAGUGAGUUGUGAAAAAGGGAAGGCUAUUGCCUGUGUGGUGGGAGUGUGGGAAUUGAAUGUUGUUCCCCAAUCAGAACAAGAUAAGAAUUCUGUUAAUUUCAUGGCCUCUGCUACCAUUUGGGUCCUUUAUUACAAUUAAUACCUCUUUUCAGGGGUCUUUCUACUUUAGCAGGGUUCUCUGGUACUUUGCAUUGCUCGUCCUCUAGAUAAACCUUCCCCAGAAACGCAUACUCAGUAUAUAAGUAAAAUAGUAUAUACAUACAUAUAGAUAUAGAGAUAUCCAUCGAGAUUAGGUAGAUGGAGUAAGUUACAAGCACAAAGACUGAAGCUCCUGUCUGUCCAGCUUUCUGAAACACAUCUGGGCCUUCAGUUAAAGGCCAGGUAGACGUAAUAGAUAUCUUUGCAAAUCACAAACCCCUUGAUGUUGGAAAACUGCUAGCUUUUGGUGCUGGAUAGACAGGGCCUGAGCAACAGAGAAUUAAAGGAGAAGUUGAACAAUUAACAGCAUACAUAUAUAUGCCAGUAACAACUUAUGUAUAGACUGCAUGAAAAAAAAAUAUAUGUCACACACAUUGCAAGAACGUCCUGCACAAAUUAAAAGGACAACUCCUUAGGGAGUGCCUGAAGAACAUAUUGAGGAACAUCUGGCACCUCCCUCCAUACUCUUUGUCUAACAAAGACUCUGAAGAAAAUCACCACAUCAGUACGAAUGAGAAGGGUACUGAGACAUGUUAGAGACAAAAGGACUGCUACUGACUGACACCACAUGACACACAAAUUAACAAGUGAUUAACAAAUGUAAACCUUUUGAUAAGAUUGUGAACCUGGAGCACCCAGCCAGUGGGGAAACAGGGGAGGCAAGGGGUGUGUGGGGGGGGAAACAAGGUACAAAAGCUGUCAUGUCCAUACCCAUAAGCACGCUCUUCUGCUUGUGGGAUGCCUGCCACUGCAAUUGGGAAUAAAAUCUGCUUU